AGCGAACGCUGGCGGCAGGCCUAACACAUGCAAGUCGAGCGCCCCGCAAGGGGAGCGGCAGACGGGAGAGUAACACGUGGGAACGUGCCCUUCAGUUCGGAACAACCCAGGGAAACUUGGGCUAAUACCGGAUACGUCCGUAAGGAGAAAGAUUUAUCGCUGAAGGAUCGGCCCGCGUCUGAUUAGCUAGUUGGUGGGGUAACGGCUCACCAAGGCGACGAUCAGUAGCUGGUCUGAGAGGAUGAUCAGCCUCACUGGGACUGAGACACGGCCCAGACUCCUACGGGAGGCAGCAGUGGGGAAUAUUGGACAAUGGGCGCAAGCCUGAUCCAGCCAUGCCGCGUGGGUGAUGAAGGCCCUAGGGUUGUAAAGCCCUUUCGGCGGGGAAGAUAAUGACGGUACCCGCAGAAGAAGCCCCGGCUAACUUCGUGCCAGCCGCCGCUGUAAUAC
rnacentral:rRNA from 1 species